AUGGCCAAGGUGGUGUUGCUGCUCUUGCUCGUGAUACAGAUCUCCAGCGUGCUCGCCGCCGCGGCUAGGCCGUUCGUGGGGGACGACGGCCAGUGGUUGCAGAACGGGAUCGGGAUGGUGACACAGAUGCUCGGCGGCGUCAAGCAGUCAGGGUCCAGCGGCCGCACGCACUGCUGCUGA
rnacentral:rRNA from 1 species